rnacentral:lncRNA from 1 species
AGUGUGCCAUCCUCCUAAUAUCAGCAACAGCAAAGGGCUAAAGAAUCUUCAGCACUACACGAAUGGCUCUCUCUUCUGAAAAGUUUUACUACAAAUUAAAAAAAAAUGUGAUAAAGAUCUACUAUAAGCACCUUUCCUGUACUGAUGAGAAAUCGAUGGGACUGCAGACAUUUAACUGGCGCUGAUGAACCCAGUCCACUCUCCUGGAGAUGGUCCAGCAUUAAACCCAGGUUUAGUAUAAUAGGAAAAUUUAGUAAUAGAAUUAAUAGGUACUGGUAGGCAAUGCUCAUCAAAGAAUAACUUCUGACUUUUUACGAACCGUGGUGUGUGGAACAGAAAGCCAGCCCACCUGGAAGAGCUCAUAGGUGUUAGGUCUGUCUCAUAGUUCUUACACUGAAGGGACACAUUUCCCUUUUAAAAUUGUUAAGCAGAAAGUGUAUGUGUUAAAUAUGUGCUGGAAGCAUCUCACUGUGGGGUAUGUCUCAAUGGUGUCCUUCACUAGGUC